GCUGUAGUGUGGGAGGGCAUCAUUUAUCUAGCAGGGCCCCGCACUUCCCCUCGCUAUAACUGCUCUAAUUGUCAUAUAAAAGCACAGAGAGCGUGUCACAGUGAUCAAUACUGAGCUCAGCCUAAUAGACGCGGAAUCACAGACGGAGAGGCAAAGAUAGACGGAGGGGGAAAAAGUCUGCUUCGUGCUCCUGAUGGAAGUCUGAUGGCAGCUUCUCUGGACCACCAAGGUUGCUCCUCCGUGACUGCUGAUGCAAGCCAGGCCUUGACCCCGCUCAACACUACUGAUAGUUCAGGCUUCUCAUUUUGAACUCCGCCUGGAGGAAGGCUGGGAAAUUCCUUUGCGUCUCUGAAGUAAACAGACAUUAAUCACUUCUUUAGAGGGGAAUGUCAAAUGGACAGCCCGAGGCAUGUUAAGGGGCCACACAGAGGCACACGGGACCAGGAGAUAGAUGCUGGAGGGCUGCAGGGUGUUUUGCCCCCCUAUGGGAUGUCUACAGCACCAGCUGAUAGGGCCAGCAAGUCCACCUUGGGCUUCAAGAUGAGUCCGACUUCCUGAGACUGGAGGGGAGCCAUGGACUAGUCGGCAUCGAAACCCAAAUCAGGAUAAAAAAAGAAACAUGGCUCCCAGCAAGGAUUUGCUUCAGGAGAUGGAGAUUAAAUCAGGGAGACCUACCAUUUUCCUGAAAAGACAAAGGUGAGGACGCCACAAAGAUGCAACUGAGACAGUUCAGCAUCAAAAACUGAAGAAAAACUGGCUGGAAUCCUAUAAAAAGCUGAGAUGCCCUCAAUUAUGGGGGGACGGAAAAGUCUUUAAUAGCUGACCAACUGGACAUCGCAGCAGUCAACAAACUGCAGACGAAGAGGGGUCAUAUCAAGUAACUUUUAUUCAAUAGCAGAAACAUGAGUUUCUGUUUUGAGAACUACCCAAAACUGAAGAAGGAAGUGCAAAAAUGUAGAGUGUGAAAGGCAACACUGAUUCCUGUGGUAAUCAGAGCGCUCGGGGUUGUGACCCUAAACUGAGAGAGCAGCUCAACAGUAUGCAGAAAUAGUAUGGGAGAAUUCUGAGUGACAGAAAAACCCAGAAACAAGGGAGCUACCUGCAGGCUAAUAUUUACUGAAGGGUUAAUUGUUGAACCAG